UAGCUAACCCACAAAAACACAUCAACAUUGGAUAUCUGAAUGAAACUUCCAGAAUAAGCAUAUAUACUCUAAGUUCUACAAGAUACCCAAUAGCGACGUGGUUAGAUAAAGAUGGAUAUGUACUGAAAACUGAAAGUUGUACUUCAUCUGAAGUUGAAACGGAAUUUUAUGGUAAUUUAGUCAAUGUGUCUGCUUACAAAUGUGAUUUUCAUAUUAAAAAAACACAAGAGAAGGAUUUUCAAAAGUAUGCCGUCAAAGUGAGGAAUGAUCUAGGAGAAAGCCUGUUCGAAAUAUCACUUAUUCCUGCACGUAAACCAGAAAUACCAAGGAGUGUUCAGGUGAUUGCAUUGAAGUUCAAAAUCAUAGUAAAAUGGCACGCUGGGAAUAGUUAUGGUUUUCUACAAGCAUUCUGCAUAGAAUUCAGAAAAAGUUUUGAUCUAGAAUGGAGUAUGGUGGCUGCAGAAAGCAAUACAUCAGUAACAAUUGAUGGAUUACAAAUAGACACUGUAUACUUUGUACGCGUGUACUCAAGGACUAUGGCUGGAGAAAGUAAUAAAACCGGCGAAGUGAUAGUUAAAACAGGUAACCAUCAUUUGGUGAUUCAUUCUUAUUCAUGGGAAAUAGGUGUUAUCACGAGUGCAGCAGGUGUUGUGUUUCUCUUAUGCGUGUAUGGAAUGAAAG